UAAAGAUAAAGAUGCCAAAUCAUGACAGUUCAUAUAGUUUAGGCAACCCAUUAUUCUUGUUACAACUGUAUAGUUUGGUUAGGUUGUUAUAAUUUGUUACAGGAUGAUUAGAGGAUGUUUAGUACAUGGCCUUGCAUAUAUAUAUAUAUAUAUAUACCUCCAAUGUAAAUGUAAUUAAGUAGUGAAGUCAGUAAAUGAGAAGAGCAUUAUUUAGUAAAAUCAUUCUUCUAUUUCUUUUGGUUUCUUUAUGGUAUCAAUCGCCGCCGCCUUACGGCCCUCUUCGAUCCUCGUCUCUUCCGUCGUGUUUUCUUCUCCGAUCUCCUCUCUGAUCUCCGAUCUGUAAGACCUUACCUAUGUUAUUCUCCGAUCUUCAAUCUUGUUGUCUUCCUCUUGAUCUCUGAUGGCGUCUUCUUCUCCAAAUCUGUCUCCCGAUGCCAAUUCUUCCUUCCCAAACCCUAAUUCCUCUCAAUCCUACACAUCUCUCACGAUCCAAAACAUUGGUAGCAUGGUCAAUCAAGCUCAAGCGUUCGAAUUAUCUGCCAUGGUGUGCUCUCUUUGCCCCAAUUCUUCGUCGCUACAAGCUUCUUGGCCUCAUUGAUGGAUCUGAACCUUGUCCGACGCCAUUUUUACCAGAUCGAUCGAUCAAUCCUGCCUUCGAGAGCUGGUAUGAGAAGGAUCAGAAUCUUCUCAUCUGGUUUAAUUCAACACUCUCUGAGGAAGUCAUUCUGUUCACUGUUGGUGUUUCCUCAUCCAGAGAUCUGUGGCUUAAACUCGAGCAGCGUUUUGGUGGUGUCUCUGAUGCGCACAUUCAUCAACUUCGUUCUCGUCUUCAGUGCAUUCAGAAAGGCUCUCAAUCCAUGACUGAUUAUUUGCAACAACUGAAGGAAAUUUCUGAUUCUCUCACUGCCGCCGGAGCUUCGGUUUCAGACCGUGAUCUUAUUGCUGCUACGCUGGCUGGUCUUCCUGAUGAGUUCGAAUCGUUUAUUGAUUCUAUCAUGCUUCGUCUUUCUUCAACAUCUCUUGAUGAAUUACAUGGCCUAUUACUCACAAAGGAGCUUUCCAUGACUUGAAGGAAGAAACUUGCCUCUUCUGCCCCUACUGAACCGUUUCAUGCUCUCUCGGCUCAAGCUUUACCGCCUCUUCUUCCUACGCCGCCUCAGGCAUUUGCUGUUCAACAGACACCAUUUCACAAUAAUUUUCGCUAUAAUUCCAAUCGUGGCAGGAACACUCGAUUUUCCAACAAUCGGGGACAUAAAGGCAAUCAUCGGGGCAACUAUAACUCUGGCUUCAAUUCUGGUUCAAAUCGUGGUUCUCAUUCCACCUAUCGUGGUUCAUUUUCCUCUGGUGUUCGUACUUCUUGCCAGAUCCGUGGUAAUCCAAGUCAUGAGGCCAUAAACUGCUUUGAUCGAAUGAAUCCUGAUAUUUCUGGAAAAAUCCCUCCAGCCAAGCUUGCUGCAAUAUGUGCGCAUUAUACAUCCAAGUCAUCUCAUCCUUCUUGGCUCAUUGACUCUGGUGCAACUUCUCACAUUACCAAUGACAUCGCCAACAUCUCUUCUUCCUCUCCUUAUACUGGUGACGAUAAAGUCUAUAUUGGUGAUGGUAAAGGUCUGUCCAUCCAUCAUAUUGGUUCCUCUUUGUUACAUACUCCUCAUACUUCUUUUAAAUUGAACAAUGUCCUUCAUGUUCCUCACAUGAAGCACAAUUUAUUGUCUGCUUUUCAAUUUGUUAAAGACAAUUCCUGUUCGUUGACCCUUGAUUCUGAUGGAUCCUUUGUCAAUGAUCGUUCUACGGGGAAGAUGCUUUUGCAGGGACCGGUUAAAGAUGGCUCAUAUCCUUUGCAAAGCUCUCCUUCCACCGAUAUUGUUUCUUCCCGUUCUCCAUCAGCAUUUGUCAGUGUUCAAGCUCCAGUGAAGAUUUGUCAUAGUCGAUUGGGUCAUCCCUCCUCUGCUAUUUUUCGCAAAGUACUUUCUAGUAAUAAACUUGCACUGCAGGGUAAAUCCUCCGUUGAUUUCUUCUGCUCGAAUUGUGUUGUGGCUAAAAACCAUAAACUGCCAUUUCACCCCGCUGGUUCAUCUACUUACCAUAGUCUAGCUUUGAUUCAUUGUGAUGUAUGAGGACCUGCCCCUGUUACUUCUGUGAGUGGUUUUCAGUAUUAUCUGUUGUUAGUCGUUGACUACACCAAAUAUAGUUGGCUCUUUCCUUUGAGAAGAAAAUCUGAGGUGUAUUCUACCUUUGUAACUUUCAAAACCUAUGUGGAAAAAUCUGUUGGAAAUCAAAUAAAGGCUAUACGUUCUGAUUCAGGGGGUGAAUUCACUAGUGCUUCUUUUCAGUCUUAUCUUAAUUUGCAUGGUAUUUCUCAUCAGUUCAGUUGUCCACAUACGCCUGAACAAAAUGGUUGUGUAGAACGUAAGCAUCGGCAUCUUGUCGAGAUCGCCAGAACAUUGUUAGUUGCAUCUCAUGUUCCUCAAGUUUAUUGGGUUGAAGCUCUCUCCACUGCUAUAUACUUGAUUAAUCGGUUACCCAUUUCUGGUCUUGUGACAUCUCCUUGGGAGUUACUAUUUCAUUCCUUACCCGAUUAUACUCGGUUAAAGGUUUUUGGGUGCAGUUGUUACCCCUGGUUAAAACCUUAUGUCACUUCUAAACUGGAUGGCAAAAGCAAGCAGUGUGUUUUUCUUGGGUACAGUUUACAACAUAAGGGUUAUCGGUGUUUGGACAUGGCUACUGACAGGGUCUACAUCUCUCGGCAUGUCACCUUUGAUGAGAAGUUUUUUCCUUUUACUGCCAAGCCUGCUUUCCCUUCUCCUUCUAUCCCUCCUGUUUCUACUGCUUUUGACCUACACUUUCCCCUGUCCACCUCACCCUCUACUUUACCCAGUUCUCAUUCCAUCAGUCCUCCUCCCAUUACUGCUCCCUCUAGUGACCCUGUCUCCUCCCCUCUUUUCAGCCCUUUACCUUCUCCCUCCUCUCCAUCUUUACCUGUUCAAAACAUUCAUCCUAUGGUUACUCGUUCCAAAAAUGGAAUUUUUAAGCCUAAAGCCUACACCGCUACUAAACACCCUUUAUCCUCCUCCAUUGAUUAUGUUCCAACAACCUACACUCAGGCCUCUAAAUUUGCUGAGUGGCGAGCAGCUAUGCAGGCUGAAUUCAAUGCCCUCCAAUCCACUGGCACCUGGAUUUUGGUUCCUUCUUCUUCCUCCCAGAAUGUUGUCGGUUGUAAAUGGGUGUUUAGGAUCAAGAAGAAGCUUGAUGGAACUAUUGACAGGUAUAAAGCCCGGCUUGUUGCCAAGGGUUUUCAUCAAAAAGAUGGUUCGGAUUAUCAAGAAACCUUUAGUCCUGUGGCAAAACCUGUUACUAUCCGACUUUUGUUAACUGUUGAUGUCCACUUCAACUGGUUUCUGCAUCAACUUGAUAUUAGCAACGCUUUCCUUCAUGGUGAUUUAAAAGAAGAAGUAUUCAUGCAUCAGCCACCUGGUUUCAGUGAUCCAUCCUUUCCCAAUCAUGUGUGUCAACUCAAGAAGUCCUUAUAUGGCCUCAAACAGGCUCCAAGAGCAUGGUUUGACAAGUUGUUUCAAGCUCUCAAGUCUCUUGGUUUCACUCAAUCAUCAUCUGAUGCUUCUCUCUUUGUUCUCAAGGUUCCGGUUACUGUCAUUGUCCUUGUCUAUGUCGAUGACAUCUUGGUUAGUGGUCAUGAUUCCUCCGUUUGCAAUCUGUUCAUCCAGCAACUGAGUUAUUUGUUUCCUGUGAAGGACUUGGGUCUCUUACAUUAUUUCUUGGGCCUUGAAGUUCAUCGAACCACCGACAGCUUAUUUCUUCAUCAAGGUAAAUAUCUGAUGGACUUGUUACAAAUGACCAAAAUGGAGGGUGCUAAGCCUUGUUCUACUCCUCUUGGCCAUGCCAAACUGGAUCACAUAGGUACACCUUUGGCAAAUCCAACUGAAUAUCGGUCUAUUGUGUGAGGUCUCCAGUAUUUAACUUGGACUCGGCCUGAUAUUUCUUUUGCAGUUAAUCAGGUAUGCCAAUUCAUGUAUACUUCUACUGAGUUACAUCUGCAAGCAGCCAAAAGAAUCCUCCGAUUUCUCAAAGGCACAUCGUCCCAUGGUAUAUGGUUUCAUAAAGGCCCUCUCACCUUAUCCGCCUACUCUGAUGCAGACUGGGCUGGCUGCCCUUUUGAUCGGCGAUCCACGAGUGGAUUUUGUGUGUUUCUUGGCUCCACCUUAGUCAGCUGGAGUGCUAAAAAGCAGCCUACAGUAGCUCGUUCUUCUACUGAGGCUGAGUAUCGAUCCUUGGCUCAUACUGCUGCAGAGGUUACCUGGAUAUGUAAAGUUUUCCGAGACUUUGGUUUCUCCUUCUCUGCUAAACCUACUAUUUGGUGUGAUAACAUUUCUGCCAUCUCUCUUGCUUCCAACCCUGUUUUCCAUGCGCGUACCAAACAUGUGGAAAUUGAUUACCACUAUAUACGGGAGCUUGUUCUUGCCAAUCUGGUUAAUGUUCAGUAUGUUUGCAGUCAGGAUCAGAUAGCAGAUAUUCAUACUAAAUCUUUGUCCAAGAAUCGGUUUCUCUUUCUUCAAUCCAAGCUUUCUCUUGGCACUCCAAGUCUUUCCAAGCUCAGCUUGAGGGGGUGUAAAGAUAAAGAUGCCAAAUCAUGACAGUUCAUAUAGUUUAGGCAACCCAUUAUUCUUGUUACAACUGUAUAGUUUGGUUAGGUUGUUAUAAUUUGUUACAGGAUGAUUAGAGGAAGUUUAGUACAUGGCCUUGCCUAUAUAUAUAUACCUCCAAUGUAAAUGUAAUUAAGUAGUGAAGUCAGUAAAUGGGAAGAGCAUUAUUCAGUAAAAUCAUUCUUCUAUUUCUUUUGGUUUCUUUAC
rnacentral:lncRNA from 1 species